UUUUAUGGAGAGUUUGAUCCUGGCUCAGGAUGAACGCUGGCGGCGUGCCUAAUACAUGCAAGUCGAGCGAACGGACGAGAAGCUUGCUUCUCUGAUGUUAGCGGCGGACGGGUGAGUAACACGUGGAUAACCUACCUAUAAGACUGGGAUAACUUCGGGAAACCGGAGCUAAUACCGGAUAAUAUUUUGAACCGCAUGGUUCAAAAGUGAAAGACGGUCUUGCUGUCACUUAUAGAUGGAUCCGCGCUGCAUUAGCUAGUUGGUAAGGUAACGGCUUACCAAGGCAACGAUGCAUAGCCGACCUGAGAGGGUGAUCGGCCACACUGGAACUGAGACACGGUCCAGACUCCUACGGGAGGCAGCAGUAGGGAAUCUUCCGCAAUGGGCGAAAGCCUGACGGAGCAACGCCGCGUGAGUGAUGAAGGUCUUCGGAUCGUAAAACUCUGUUAUUAGGGAAGAACAUAUGUGUAAGUAACUGUGCACAUCUUGACGGUACCUAAUCAGAAAGCCACGGCUAACUACGUGCCAGCAGCCGCGGUAAUACGUAGGUGGCAAGCGUUAUCCGGAAUUAUUGGGCGUAAAGCGCGCGUAGGCGGUUUUUUAAGUCUGAUGUGAAAGCCCACGGCUCAACCGUGGAGGGUCAUUGGAAACUGGAAAACUUGAGUGCAGAAGAGGAAAGUGGAAUUCCAUGUGUAGCGGUGAAAUGCGCAGAGAUAUGGAGGAACACCAGUGGCGAAGGCGACUUUCUGGUCUGUAACUGACGCUGAUGUGCGAAAGCGUGGGGAUCAAACAGGAUUAGAUACCCUGGUAGUCCACGCCGUAAACGAUGAGUGCUAAGUGUUAGGGGGUUUCCGCCCCUUAGUGCUGCAGCUAACGCAUUAAGCACUCCGCCUGGGGAGUACGACCGCAAGGUUGAAACUCAAAGGAAUUGACGGGGACCCGCACAAGCGGUGGAGCAUGUGGUUUAAUUCGAAGCAACGCGAAGAACCUUACCAAAUCUUGACAUCCUUUGACAACUCUAGAGAUAGAGCCUUCCCCUUCGGGGGACAAAGUGACAGGUGGUGCAUGGUUGUCGUCAGCUCGUGUCGUGAGAUGUUGGGUUAAGUCCCG
rnacentral:rRNA from 1 species